GCGAGGCAAUUACUGAGAUAUUGAGAGUUGAGUUGAGAAGAGUUUUCUCCUCCUCCAUUGAUGUAGAUUGUAGUUUUCUCUCUAUCUAGUAAAAUCAGUAUCUCUGUGGAUGUAGGCAAUUUGCCAAACCACCUUAAAUGUUGUGUUCUUGAUUCUGGGCAUCAAGCUCGGGUCUUGACACAAGGCAUUCGGUUAUGGUCAGAUAUAGAUGAAACU
rnacentral:lncRNA from 1 species